rnacentral:rRNA from 1 species
UACGGAGGGGGCAAGCGUUGUUCGGAAUUAUUGGGCGUAAAGGGCGCGUAGGCGGCCGGAUAAGUCUGACGUGAAAUCCCUCGGCCUAACCGAGGAACUGCGUUUGAAACUGUUCGGCUCGAGUCCGGGAGAGGGUAGUGGAAUUCCCAGUGUAGCGGUGAAAUGCGUAGAGAUCGUAAGGAAGACCAGUGGCGAAGGCGGGUCUCUGGACAGUUCCUGACACUGAGGCACGAAGGCCAGGGGAGCAAACGGG